rnacentral:lncRNA from 1 species
UGGGAGUGGAGAGUCUUGAAAAGAAUUUUUCUAUAGUAUUCAUUUGACAAUUGUCCCACGGUAUUUUCUCCUCCUUUAAUCUCAUUUUUGAAGAGUAAAUACAGUAUUUUACCCUCCCUCACAAUUUCUUCCCUUUUGAGCUGUCAUUGUAAAAAGCAAUAGUUUGGAACCUCUAAAGAUAGUAAUUAUUUGUAAUCUCAAGGUAGAAUUGCUUAUAAUUUAUGUAAAAAAUAUCUAUGUUAAGACUCACUUAUAGUGUUAGAAGAUUGUUAUACAUUUUGCCUGAUAGUUUUGGAAAACAAUUCAGAUAUAAAAGACAUAAUGUGUGAAUAAAAAUAGAUCAUCCGUAUUAGUUAAGGUAGGUUAACUACUGAAACAAACAAUCCCUGAAGAAUAAAAAUAGAUCAUCCGUAUUAGUUAAGGCAGGUUAACUACUGAAACAAACAAUCCCUCUUAGAGGUUUAGCAGAUUAACACUUAAUAUACACUAAGCUUAAUGUAUGGGUUACUAGUCAGACUUCUCUCCUUGAUGGCCACCUUCCAGACAAUGUCUCAGGGAUGCUUCUGGAUAACCAGAUCUAUUCUCUGUCUUCCCCUCUCUGCUCUGUGCCCCUAUAGACUGGAUCCCACCGACGCCCUUGCCCUAUGGCUUCCAAGCAGAUUUCGCUGAUGAGAAGCCCCAGUGGGAGACUGCAGAAUGAGAGGAGAGCUCAGGGUCUUUGUUGUUUCAACCAUGGCUCAUCCUCUCCCAUGACUACAGCUAGCAAGAGAUGCUGUGUGUCCUUCUUUUUGACGGAGCAAAGACAAAUCUCCCAAGAAAGCUGCAGAAAAUGGGAAAGAGAGCAGCCUCAGCCCAUCGGGGCAAAGUCAACUCAGGGCACGGCAACUGGCUCUGGUGCGAGAAGUGGAGAUGAACUGGUACCUAAAACUCUGGGAGCUGUCCAUCGAGCACACCACUGCCUACACCACUGGCAUGCCUCACAGCCAAAGAAUGGGAAAUGUGUCCAUAAAAACAAAAGACUCACACAGGGAAAAUCCUCUGGAAUUUCAAUUUUUCAUGAUUUUUCAAGAAGCAUAUUUUUUAAAGUUUGUGGAACCUGAUAUUGUCUAUCCCUAGAGGGAAUGGAAAUUAAGAAAUGUAAACUGUGACCUUACAGCUGUUUUAGGUAAAAGAAAAUAUUAAAAUUUUUAUUUUUAAAAAUAAAACUUCUAUUUGUGCCAGUUAUUUUUUGUUUGCUUCUCCACAUUCAUUCUCUCGGUUUCUCCAACUCACUCUCCACCCCAGGAGGCAGACCUCUAUGGCUUCCACGGGAGCCCCUGCCAUCUGCUUUAGCCAAGGGGAAGCCCCAGCUGUGAGGGAGGAAAGUGAGGUUGGGUAUUGACUCUUCCCUGCAGGGGACCACCUUAGGCUGACUAUAUCUCUUGACCAUUGCCAAAGUCGUAAGUCCUUGGCAAUGAACUCAUGACAGCCUUGUGUAUAUGACUCUCUCCAAGCCAGCUGGUGAGAAUUGGUUGGUUUCAAUAGUGGCAUUUCCUCCCCACUCUCUGCUGCUGUUUCCCCAGGGUUACUACAGGGUCUCUUACAAUUCUUCUACACCUGUGCAUAUAAACCUGGUUUGAAUUGACUAACUUAAGUGUGCCAUCUGUUUUCUGUUGGGACCCCAAGUGAUACAUAUUUAUUUCAGAAAUUUAAAAAUUAAAUGUGAAACAAGUCUAAUGUACUCUGAUACAGCUACACAAAAACCUAUCUUUUAAAACUGGUAGAAGAACAGAGUCUAUGUUAGCUGUGCUUAUAUGAAAAUGACAAAAAAAAAAAAGUGGUUUUAUUCAAGCAAGUCUUCCCAUUGCACACCCCCAGGGGUCCCAUUCACAGGAUGCUUCAGGCUAACUUUAGGAAGGUUUAUCAACCAGAACCAUUUCUGCUUAUCAAGAAGAGAAUGAGAGCAGAUCAAACAGUUUUGUUUGAGUGAACUGAAAUUAAAAUGGACGAUGACCUAGAGGGGUGGAGCACAGGGAGGGGAGGUAGGCUGAAGAGGGCAGGGAUACAUAUAACUAUGACUGAUUCGCAUUGUUGAAUGGCAGAAACCAACAUAAAACUGUAAAACAAUUUCCACCAAUUAAAAAAAAAAGCCACAAACAGAAAAAGAAAUUAUCAAACUAGUUAGCUUCUUUUGGCCUUAGAAUUUGCUCCUAUAUCUCAAAAGUUAUACAUCAGAGUAAGGAUGGCUUGGUAUAGGUGUAGUAUAGGUUUUGAUAUAGGUUUGAUUAUAUAGUGAUUUUUACCUAAUAUCAGUUGGGAAAUAUCAUACUGAAUUCUCUUUUUGCUGCUCUGAGUGCAACUUGUGGAAUCCUAGUUCCCCAACCAAGGAUUGAACCCACACCCUCUGCACUGGAGUGUAGAGUCUUAGCCACUGGACCAUGAAGGAAGUCCCUGAAUUCUUGUCCAGUUCUUUGAUCAGAACUGAGAUUGUCCCAUCCUACACUCCUCUUUGGAAAGGGGAUUGAUUAUCAUGAUCUCCUAUUUCUUAGAGUGGCUUCUGGUUGGACUUGACCUUUGAAACAGUUUUGUUCUCUGCGAAGUGUUUAGAGCUCCUCUCUAGAUGCAGACCCUUGCUGACGUCCUCACUUUUUCACAGCCAUGCUUCCCAUUCUGUGAACAGGGCUGAAUCUCUGUCUCAGCUUGGCUUUCUCUGAAGUACAGCUGUAGCAGUGUGGAAUUAAAGACAUCUUUAGAGACCAGGAGGGGGAUGGAUUGGAGAGAGCAGAAAGCAUGUUUCAUUAAGAACUUUUAGGUUGCCAAAUGACCCUUCUGAGUCAUUAAUGUGCUUGGCUAAGAACAUCUCUGACAACUCAGAGAAGGAGAGAGGUGUUCCCGUGUUGUACUCUGAGUGUGUUAUGAGUAUUUAUGUUCCUAAGGAAGGGGAAAAGUACUUGCCAAUGCUGACAAUGAGCUGUAUUCUAUGCUGUGAGCACAAAUAGAACAAAAUGUUAAUUCUGGCUAAGUCAGCUGUCCGAGGAGCCUGCAUCCUGACCACCUGCCCUGUUCCCACAAUGGGCACUAAUUAGCCAGCAGUCUUACUAUUUAGGGACAGGCUAUAUACUCAAGGCAAGCCAAAAGUUCUAUAUUGAAACCUUGUUCACUCAUUUCAUGCUCAGUAAAUCUUUAAUCCAAUUUUCUGUUGAUGGGUGGGGCUGUGUUCCCUUCUGGUUGUUUGGUCUGAGAACAAACUAUGGUGGGCUAAUGGCAGUAACGGCGACCUCCUUCAAAAGGGCUUACAUCUACAUGGUUGCAUUCAGUGCCCCUGACCCUGCAGCAGUCCACUGUUGACCCACACCUCUACUGGAGACUCCUAGACAUUCACGGGCAAGUCUGGCUCAGUCUCUUGUGGGGUCACUGCUCCUUUCUCCUGGGUCCUGUUGCACACAAGGUUUUGUUUGGACCCUCCAAAGUCUGUUUCCCCUGUCCUGUGUAACUUCUAUAAUCAAAUCCCUUUGGCCUCCAAAGUCAGAUUCCCUGGGGAUUCUCAGUCCCUUUGCCAGAUCUCCAGGUUGGGAAAUCUGUUGUGUGUCGUAUAACUUUCUUAACAGUGUGAGAAUUUGAUAUAAUUGUUCUGCAGUUUAUGGGUUGUCUGCUUGGCGGCUCUAUGGUGGGGUUGAUGGCAACCUCCUCCAAGAAGGCUUAAGGCACAUGCCGAGUGUCCUAGGUCUGCUGCAGCCAGAGACCCUGUACCCCUGGCAGGACACUGCUGAGCCUGUGCCUCCCCAGGAGACAUGAAAACACUCAAAGGCAGGUCUGGCUCAGUCUCUGUGGGGUCUCUGGGUCCUGGUGCACACAAGGUUUUGUUUGAGCCCUCCCAGGAUCUCUGGUGGGUAUGGGGUUUGUUUCUAAAAAUAAUUUUGCCCCUCCUACCAUCUUGUUGGGGCUUCUUUGCCCUUGGACCUGGUGUAUCUUUUUUUGGUGAGAUUCAACAUUCUCCUGUCUAUAGUUGUUCUGCAGUGAGUUGCAAUUUUGAAGUUCUCACAGGAGGAGAUGAGUGUACAUCUUCCUACUCUGCCACCUUUCCAUAUACCCUUAUCCAUCAGAGGGCAAACAGAAAGAAUACCGCAAUCACAGAGAACUAAUGAAACUGAUCACACGGAUCACAGCCUUGUCUAACUCAGUGAAACUAUGACCCAUGCUAUGUAGGGCCACCCAAGACGGUGGGUCAUGGUGGAAAAUUCUGACAAAAUGGGGUCCACUGCAGAAGGAAAUGGCAAGCUACUUCAGUAUUCUUUCCUUGAGAACACCAUGAACAGUAUGAAAAUGCAAAAAGAUAUGACACUGAAAGAUGAACUCCCCAGGUUGAUGGGUACCCAAUAUGCUAUUUGGGUGGAGUAAUUACUCUAGAAAGAAUAAAGAGACAGAGCCAAACCAAAAACAAUGCCCAGUUGUGGAUGUGACUGGUGAUGGAAGUAAAGUCCAAUGAUGUAAGAACAAUACUGCAAAGGAACCUGGAAUGUUAGGUCCAUGAAUCAAAGUAAAAUGGAAGUGGUCAAACAGGAGAAGGCAAGAGUGAAUAUGGACAUUUUAGGAAUCAGUGAGCUAAAAUGGAGCAGAAUUGGAUGAAUUUAAUUUAGAUUGCCAUUAAAGCUCAACAUUCAGAAACGUAAGAUCAUGGCAUCUGGUCCCAUCACCUCAUGGCAAAUAGAUGGGGAAACAGUGGAAACAGUGUCAGACUUUAUUUUGGGAGGCUCCAAAAUCACUGUAGAUGGUGAUUGCAGCCAUGAAAUUAAAAGAUGCUUACUCCUUGGAAGGAAAGCUAUGACCAACCUAGAUAACAUGUUAAAAAGCAGAGAUAUUACUUUGCCAACAAAGGUCCGUCUAGUCAAGGCUAUUGUUUUUCCAGUGGUCAUGUAUGGAUGUGAGAGUUGGACUAUGAAGAAAGCUGAGUGCCAAAGAAUUGAUGCUUUUGAACUGUGGUGUUGGAGAAGACUCUUGAGAGUCCAUUGGACUGUGAGGAGAUCCAACCAGUCCAUUCUAAAGGAGACCAGUCCUGGGUGUUCUUUGGAAGGAAUGAUGCUAAAGCUGAAACUCCAAUACUAUGGCCACCUCAUGUGAAGAGUUGACCCAUUGGCAAAGCCUCUGAUGCUGGG